CUCUGCCUCCUAAGCAUUUCUUAUCAGAGAAUAGAGAAGACCUGCCCGUAGAUACCAGGACCCUGGGCAGGAGGAAGAGGUCCCCGGAGACUGAGAAAGGCCUCCCUUGGCUGAGGCACUCCUGGGAAACCUCAAGGGGGAGGGACAAUGCCUGGGUCUCUGAGGUGGGGCACCUGGGAGGUCACAGGGUCCAAGAGGCAAAGAGCUGCAAACCCUGGGAUGGAGAGGUAGCACGUCCCACCAGAGGGAGGAAGGGGCGGGCAGAGCUGCUCAGCAAGCACUGGGCUGGCACGGGAAGCCAGAGCACCCUCGAGGCUGGCAGGAGCGGUGUGUCAGGAACGCUUGCAGCCUGGAAGACGGACUCUGGGACAGAGGGCCUCAACCACAACGCCAGCCACUGCUAGUCCACUGGGAUGACAUCAAUGCUGCCGCCACCACAGUGAGUGACCAUCCAACCCUGCCAGCAAACCCCACAAUACCUGAGACCAAGAGCACAUGAGUCAUGUGAUUAGAUCACACCCCACGGGUGCCAGAGUUGAGAGCCAACCCAGCUGUCUGCUGACUUUACCAUGGGCACGGUGGACGGCGCACAGCAGCGUAAAUAUCCGUGAGGAGUGGGCUCUGAGCCUGGUGACUGCAGAUCCUGGAAAACAGGUUCUUGCUGAAUCCAGAGUUCACAGAUGCAUCCAGACUGGCUGGCCAGCUUGUCUCCACUUGCCCAGUGCCGGGGUCACAGGCACGUGACUCCAUGCUCAGCUUUCACAUGGGUGCCGGGAGCUGAACACAGAUCUUCACGCUUGUGUAGCAAGCGAUUUCCUGCCUGCACUGACUCUCCAGCCCUGGCUUUAUCCUUUGAAGGAGAAACAGAUCCAACAAAUUAAGAACUUUCCCAAGGCAAUGAAGCUUAUCAGGCAGGAUUUGAGCCCGCAUCUCUUAGAUGCAUUUCAACUACUUGCUCUCUGAUAAUCAGGAGGAAGGAGCCGGAUGGACCUGCCUCACCCACAAUGCUGCUGGCCACUUCAGUGGACUAGUAUUCACUGCAUGCCUCAGAUACCCUGACAGACGAAGAGCAGCCUGAGUGGGGCUGGAGAGACGGCUUAGUAAUUAAGUUGCUUGCCUGAAAAGCCAAAGGACCUAGGUUCAAUUCCUCAGGACCCAGGUGCACAAGGUGGCACAUGUGUCCGGAGUUUGCUUGCUGCAGCUGGAGACCCUGGCAUUCUCUCUCUCUCAAAUAAAUAUUUUUAAAAAGUAUCCUGAGUGGGGGCGGGGGGAAUUAGAAUAAGUCCCAACUGGGUGCUGCAUCAGGGUUUUUUUUGCUAUGAUUUCUCUCCUGACAUUCGGAGCUGGCGAUGCAGUUCCCCAGCUUUCUGCUAGAGUAGACAUUCAUCCUGUGAUCACUAGGCACAUGAUGCAGCAAGCUCAGAGGGCGCCCCAAGGUCACUUUUCCACAGGGCGUGGUCUCACCACUCUACCUCCAAGGGACCAUGGCCUGUCUGUCCACACUGGCUGCCUGGCCCUGCUCACUGCCUUUCUUCCCUGCCUUGGACCUCUCAGUCUGACUGAAUCCUGGAAAAACAGGUUAGGGCAGGCUGUGACUCUGACCCAGGGCCUAGCUGGAAACAAAGAGGACUUCAAGAGAGAAGGACCCUGAGGGUGUGUACUGCUGUAGUCAUUUUGCCUCAAGUGGAUUCUGCCCAGCCAGGCGCUGGGGAGAGUGAGUAAGUCACCAAUCAUGAGAAACUGAGUUGCUGCAGAACCUUCUGGAAGGAAGGGGCCUCCCACGCCUGGAGUUCUCCAAAGACCCAACUGUCUAAUUUGGAACCUUCCCAAUCAUUUGUUUGCUUUUGUGUCACGUGAUCUCUAAGCCAGUUUGCUGAACAACUUGAGUGAAUCCUGUAUUCCCACCUCCAUCUGUUCACGGACUGCUUCUAUUUUAAUUCACAAUGAUCUGACUCUCCUCAAUCCCCCCAAUGAUCUCUCACCCAACACUUGACAAUCUCUAGGUGGACAUCAUCAGCUUCCUGGAGUUGCAAUGUCACCUUCCUCUUGAAAGAUACAGAUGUAGUCUGGGGAGAUGAUAGCUCCUUUGGUAAAAGUGCCUGCCACACCAGCACAAGACCCGAGUUCAGAUCCCCAGCACCCACACAAAUGCCAAGCGUGAUGGCACACAACUGUGUCCCCAGAACUGGGAAGGCAGAGACAGGAUUCCCCAGGGCUUGCUGGCUAGCUAGUGAGGCUGAGUGGGUGAGCUUUGGUUCAGUGGGAGACCCUGUCUCAAAAAUAAUCUGAAGUAGCCGGGCGUGGUGGUGCACACCUUUAAUCUCAGCACUCAGGAGGCAGAGGUAGGAGGAUUGCUAUGAGUUUGAGGCCACUCUUGGACUCCAUAGUGAAUUCCAGGUCAGCCUGGGCUAGAGUGAGACCCUACCUCGAAAAACAACAACAAAAAAAUAAAUAAAUAAAAAUCUGAAGAAUGACUGAGGAAGACGCCCAGUACCAUCGUCUGUCCUCCAGGGGCACGCAUAUGCAUGUGAACCUACACAUACACAUGUGUCCACACACAUACACACACACACAGACACACAUCAUGUACACAUACGUGCAACCCACCCCCUACAAAUAUACAGAUGCUGGCAGGGGCUCCAGAAAUCUUUCCUCUGUAAGAGCACGUCAUUUCUUCCUGCUGAGCACCAGUCAAGAAGUCAGCACACAAUGCCUGCGCUUGGUCAUUGCUGGGCAGGCAAAGGGUGGUUAACUAGAGGCCAGCGGCUUGCAGGUAGCAGCAUGGCGGUUGGGAGCAGAAAGCUACCGUCCUUGCCCUGCACCCAGUGGGGCACUCACAGCAAUCCUCGGUCCUGAUAACUGGUGCCUUUCUCUGAGACCAAGUUAGCAUAUAACUUCUCAGCCCCAAAGUCAAAGAAAAAUGAAAUCCUACAUGCAAACAUGACCUUUUCAUCACUUCAAAGUGCACCCCGCCCAUCCUCCAGGACCCCCAGCAGCCUUGCUCAGAGCAGCCCUGGGCUCUGAGCUGUGAAGAAUCCCUGGAGGCAGGAAGGUGAGCUGUCAGCGGGGCUGUUUGAGCUACAGUGAGUCACUGCUUUCAGCAACCGGGCAUGGGGCUUCAAGCCCGGGAUUAACAGUGAUGGAUAAGCUGUUGGAGCACCGGGACAUGAAGCUUCCAGAACCCUUCCUCACCCACACACGUUUUUACAUGAAAAUAUAAUAAAGAAGUAGUGGGAGAGGAUUGUGAGUUCAGGAGAGAUUCGGUCAUGAGUGCCUAUCGGCUUUUCUUUCAUAUCAGCACAUU